GCGCACCAGGCGCGAAAACUUCACACUGUGCGAAAGCACGAUGAGGGAAUCCUAAGUGCUUGCACGUAAGUGUAAGCUGUUUCUCUGUCUAAAACGCAGAGAGAGUAAGGGCUGGGUAAGACGGGUGCCAGCCGCCGCGGUAAUACCUGCAGCUCAAGUGGUGACCGUUAUUAUUGGGCCUAAAACGUCCGUAGCCGGUUUAAUAAAUGCCUGGGUAAAUUGUGUAGCUUAACUAUACGAAUUCCGGGUAGACUGUUAAACUUGAGACCGGGAGAAGUUAGAGGUACUCCUGGGGUAGAGGUGAAAUUCUGUAAUCCUAGGGGGACCACCAGUGGCGAAGGCGUCUAACUAGAACGGGUCUGACGGUGAGGGACGAAGCCCUGGGGCGCAAACGGGAUUAGAUACCCGUGUAGU
rnacentral:rRNA from 1 species